rnacentral:rRNA from 1 species
AUUGAACGCUGGCGGCAUGCCUUACACAUGCAAGUCGAACGGCAGCACGGGUGCUUGCACCUGGUGGCGAGUGGCGAACGGGUGAGUAAUACAUCGGAACAUGUCCUGUAGUGGGGGAUAGCCCGGCGAAAGCCGGAUUAAUACCGCAUACGAUCCACGGAUGAAAGCGGGGGACCUUCGGGCCUCGCGCUAUAGGGUUGGCCGAUGGCUGAUUAGCUGGUUGGUGGGGUAAAGGCCUACCAAGGCGACGAUCAGUAGCUGGUCUGAGAGGACGACCAGCCACACUGGGACUGAGACACGGCCCAGACUCCUACGGGAGGCAGCAGUGGGGAAUUUUGGACAAAGGGCGAAAGCCUGAUCCAGCAAUGCCGCGUGUGUGAAGAAGGCCUUCGGGUUGUAAAGCACUUUUGUCCGGAAAGAAAUCCUUGACUCUAAUACAGUCGGGGGAUGACGGUACCGGAAGAAUAAGCACCGGCUAACUACGUG